rnacentral:rRNA from 1 species
GUGGGGAAUAUUGCACAAUGGGCGCAAGCCUGAUGCAGCAACGCCGCGUGAGGGAUGACGGCCUUCGGGUUGUAAACCUCUUUUAGUAGGGAAGAAGCGAAAGUGACGGUACCUGCAGAAAAAGCACCGGCUAACUACGUGCCAGCAGCCGCGGUAAUACGUAGGGUGCAAGCGUUGUCCGGAAUUAUUGGGCGUAAAGAGCUCGUAGGCGGCUUGUCGCGUCUGCUGUGAAAUCCCGGGGCUCAACCCCGGGCCUGCAGUGGGUACGGGCAGGCUAGAGUGCGGUAGGGGAGAUUGGAAUUCCUGGUGUAGCGGUGGAAUGCGCAGAUAUCAGGAGGAACACCGAUGGCGAAGGCAGAUCUCUGGGCCGCUACUGACGCUGAGGAGCGAAAGCAUGGGGAGCGAACAGGAUUAGAAACCCGUGUAGUCC